ensembl:snRNA U6 U6 spliceosomal RNA
GUGUUCACUUUGGCAGCAGAUAUAGUAAAACUGGAACAAUAAGGAGAAGAUUAGCAUGGUUCCUGUGCAAAGACUGCAUGCAAAUUUGUGAAGCAUUCCAUAUUUCU